rnacentral:rRNA from 1 species
UACGGAGGGUGCAAGCGUUAUCCGGAUUCACUGGGUUUAAAGGGUGCGUAGGUGGGCAAGUAAGUCAGUGGUGAAAUCUCCGAGCUUAACUCGGAAACUGCCGUUGAUACUAUUUGUCUUGAAUAUUGUGGAGGUAAGCGGAAUAUGUCAUGUAGCGGUGAAAUGCUUAGAUAUGACAUAGAACACCAAUUGCGAAGGCAGCUUACUACACAACUAUUGACGCUGAGGCACGAAAGCGUGGGGGGAUCAAACAGG